AAGUUAUCAAUCAAGCAGUUAAGCAAAUUAAAUCACAACUCAGAAAUCACAACUGAAGGUAAUCAAUUCAUAUUACAAAUAUAUUCAUGGCUUUGAAUUAACCUCUAGCCAAAAUAAAUUUAGUUACACAUUAUUAAAACAUAAAUAAAAUAUAAGUUUGGAAAGAUUUAACCGAAAGAGGAGAGUGCUUCAGUGCUCUGUCUGUGCCCAGCGCCCUCUGUUUUCUGUGCGCACUGCUAAUCUCCCCCGAGGCUCACGCCUCCUCUGAUUGGAUACACGCUGCAAGGCAGCUUUUGAAUUCCUCUCCUUUCUUUCUCGCUGCCUAAGGCGGCUUGGUGCCUUUUGUUUUUCUCUGUGCCGAGGCUUCACGCUGCACCAGGCAGCUCUUCUUCUCCUCGUCCUUUUCUCCUCUUCUUCUUUUCUUUUUUUAUUCUUUUUCGCUGGUAGCUUUGCUGCUUCUUUUCCGUCCAUUAGCUUCUCUUUUCUUUCCUCCACCAUUCCUUUCUUUAUGUUUUUUUUUUUUUCAUCAUUCCAUGUCUCCCACUUAUUUAUUUUCUUAUUCUUCUUUCUCCGCGCACAGUCCGCAAGUCUCUCCCCUUCCUCUUUUAUUAUUCAAUUUCUUGAUAGUCCACUCCCUUCCUUUGUUUAAUGCCGUGUUGCACUCUGUCUUUUCUCUAUUCUUUUCUGCGUUUGAAAUUAAUCCUACAACAAAAUUAACUGUACAUUAACACAAAGUAAUGUAAAAUGUCACAAUUUUAACACAAAAACAUCCAAAGACUUUAGAAAUGAAUGAUAUAAAUGCAUGAAAUAUAUGAGUGAUCAAAUACCCCCAAACUUACAUUUUUGCUAGUCCUCUAGCAAAACAAAGAAAACAUGAAAAAGUAAUAACAUGAAAAAUAUUAGCUUCCCUCUAUGUGACCCUCAUAGAAUUUCAUUCAAGAAAACAAAUCAUCAAGAACCAUAGCUAGCAUCAAGGAACUAAUCCAAGUUCAUCUUCCUUAUUCAAUUAUUAGCAGUAAUCUUUGAAUCAUCCUUGAAGUGUAGUGUGUGAGAUAGCCAUGCUAAUGCAAUUUCAAAAUUUUAUAUUUUUAAAAUCAUCAUAUGCAAACUAGCAACCUUCUCACGGGAUAUACACUCAAUCACACAUGUGUUUAGUUUAAAUGUGUUUCGCUCAAAGAAUCAAAUGUGAAAUUUCUACCAUAAGCUUGCAUAAAGAUCUCAUCUCCACAAUCAUAAUUGCAAAACUUAAAUCAAGAGGACUUUUAUUGGAUGUAAUGAGGUUUAGGGAGAGGGUUAUUGAAAUGAAAGAAUAGGUAAACACAAGUUCCAAGCUACAUUGCAAGCAAUUCUUUUCUUUAGAUUUAUAAGAACUCAACCUUUCCAACGAUUCUUUUAGCACCUCCAACCACACCCUUAAACUGAAACUUGAACAACUUUUUAUUUUCUUUGUGUACAAUCUUUCUUUUUCUUUUUCUUUUCUUCUCUUUUCUCUUUUUUUUUUUUUUUAAAUACAAACAUGAAAUACCCCCACACUUAUUCUUUUGCCAAACACCUUCAAAGUACUUCAUAAACGUUUCUCAUAAGAAAAUCUCGCAUUGCUCGCUUGGAAAGGGUAAGGAAAAAUGUUUCAGGUAUAAGGGUAGACAUAUCUGGUGAUAAGAAAUAAAAGACUCAACAUACACGACUCAAAUUGGCAAUCUAAUGAUAUCAUUUUUCUUUGGGAAACAUGGUUAUUUGGGCCAUAGUGGUAAACCUAAUGCCUCUAUCAUUUCCAAAUUCAUGCAAUCAAUGACAAACCUUUCGACAGAUCGUUACGCAAGUUCUAGAGAUGUAUCUCACAUAAGUUCAUUACACAUGAAAGAAUAGGAGUGUAUGAAAAAUGCACACACUUUCAAUCGGCUCAAAAACUCACAUAGGAUGUAUAUGGUCACUAAAUUCACAUAUGAAGCUUUAAGCCAUACUUUAGUUUCACAUUAACAAGGCUAUGUGCAUUUGGUUUUUCAAAGAUGGUCAAACAUGUACAAAACUAACAAGAGAAUUAGGAAUUUCACAAAACACAUGUUAACUAAGUUCUUGAUAAUCAUGAUUCAAAUUUGAUCUAAUUAUAUCAUUGGGUCGGGAAACUAACAAAAAUCUAAUUCAAAACAAUAAGGGAAACAAGACAAUAUUUUUGGAUUUUUAAAUUUUCCGAUUUUUAAAAAAAAAUUUUUUUUAAAAGAAAACAAAAAGCAACAACAUGGAAACAAAUGAAACUCGUUCGUAGUUGAAGGUACAAAAAAAAUUUCAAUUUGGUCAUUUUUAUACUCUUUACCCCCAAACUUAAACUGGACAUUGUCCCCAAUGUCAGAAAACACUAUAAUGCAAAUAAAAAUAAAAUAAAUAAAUAAUAAGAAACAAAAUAAAGCAAUUGGACUGAAAACUUCCCUAGUUUGCAGUAAAACCAAGCGAUGACCCCCCAAGCUAAAAUUCUGCAAUCAACUUCAAGGGUGGAAAGAACCAAAAGUUCCUGCAAAGAAAAGAAAUAAUUCAGUUAAGUAACGCAAGAAAAUGUAAAAUUGAAAAUCACGAUAAAAGACAAUGAAUAGAACUAAUAAGUGAUCAUUGGUCGUGCUUAUUGACUUUCCACAGCUUUCCUCUUGAACGGGGUGACACUUAGCUUUUUACUUGCAAGUGAUGAUUUGAUGAUAUUGUACGGCGAGGCUUUGCUCUUUAGCAAUGUUGCAAUUCCUUAUUUGUUCUCCAAGCAGAUGUGGCAGCUUCUCUAGUUCUUCAUCUCAGACUCCUUCCGCUGGGAUGAUUGUGCAAGCUGCAUUCUUCUCUGCUUGUUUCUUCUGCACGACGGGCAGGCACGAGGUAAAGGUGUUGGUCUGUUUCUUUCUUCAAUCUUUCCAAGUGCCCACCUCUUGCUCUCUUUCUCCUUGUCCUUAGUUGAGGAUGAAUCAGCACGUUGUCUCCACAUGCUUCGAGGUAUCAUCUUCACUUCCCUUAUAAGUGAGAAACAAAGCGAAAGCAUAAGAUGAUGAGUACUCGAGAGCAAGAGCUGGCUAGAGAAAGGACAGGGAGAAAGCAUGAUAUGAGAUACUCUUGCUUUCAACCUUCAUGAUAUGAAAUACUUUUGCUUUGGAUGGGUUGUUUGCAGAGGUACCCCAAGGAAUAAGGAACACUGAGUGACUCGAGAGGGUGUGUUGGAAAUACAUUCUCGGAGAUGAAGAAGUGCUGAGAGGGUGUGCCUUUGCUGUGGAAGGCGAAGGUAGAUACUUAUAGGACUUUUCUUCACAACCGGAACUAUUCCCUCACUCAUUGUCGGCAGCCGGUGGAUGGAUGAAUAGUACAAAUUACGCGCUUUCUGACAAAGCUGCCCGUAAUUUUCGCAAAGCUGCCAGUUGCAUGUGACGAGUGACGACACGUCUGGACAAAUUGAUCUUUUGAAAUCCGGGGUUUGGCUCGUGGUUUCUGAGUAAGCCCAACUUUUAAGAAAUGAAACGCCUCUUUGAGAAAAGAAUCCGACUUUUGAGAAAGGAGCCCCGACUCUUCGAUUUGCGAGAGGACACUUCAACAAUUUCUGAGGAGCGCCUCUUUGAUUUCUUCUUUUUAUAGAGGCGUUAAUUUUGUUCCACAACACACUUGAGCUCCCUCCUGUAAACACUCCCCGGCAACGGCGCCAAAAAUUUGAUGCGUAAUAUAUAAGCAUACAAAUUAAACCCUCUUUUUAUCAAUUGUAGUAAAGUAUGUAAGUAGGGUAUCGUUCUAGGCCGGGGAUUAGGAGGGAUUGCUAAUCUAUUCUAAAUUAAUUUAGAAUUAUUAAACAAGACUCAAGGACACAAAACUAGGCUAAAAACUCUAAUAACUCGAAACACACUUAGAAUGACUCAAAAUAAUGAAAACAAUCAAAUUAGACACUAAGAACUGAAAUAGACGGAAAUUGAAUUAAAAGACUAACAACAAUGAAAACUAACUAAAUAAUAUAAUUUAAUAAUGGGGGGGGUUUGGUUUUGACCAGAAGUAAAUUAAACUUAAAUAAAUUACAGAAUUGACAAAAGCACGAAAUUAAGGUGAAAGGAUCGGUGGUGGACUAGCUAGAGGGUUCUUCUCCACACAUGACACAUAUGCAACCUAAAUUAAUUUUCAGUUGUUCUUUCAAUAAAUUGUAAAUCUCAAUACUUCAUAUUAACCGUGAACAGCACUUUUUUAAUCUUCAAGUUUUCCUUAAGUUAUUGAAUUGGACGGAAAAGCGCAUACAACAAUUCAAAACAUUCUUCAAAAGUCCCCUACGUGAAAAGCACAAUAGAGAUACAAUCAAAGAUCAUUAAACUUUGUGAAAACUAUAAGCAUGACGAGGCAUUCGUAACUAUGAAAAGCAUGAUACUCUUGCCAAGAAUUCACUUAACACGAUUGUGGAUAACAACCUUCACUACUCAUAAAUUCAUAACGAUUAGGUGAAAUUCACUUAUAUUCUAGCAUCAAAUUCAUGCAUGUAAAUUAAGUAUGCAUUCUUAAUCGACAUACAAAAAUAAGUUAUCAAUCAAGCAGUUAAGCAAAUUAAAUCACAACUCAUAAAUCACAACUGAAGGUAAUCAAUUCAUAUUACAAAUAUAUUCAUGGCUUUGAAUUAACCUCUAGCCAAAAUAAAUUUAGUUACACAUUAUUAAAACAGAAAUAAAAUAUAAGUUUGGAAAGAUUUAACCGAAAGAGGAGAGUGCUUCAGUGCUCUGUCUGCCCAGCGCCCUCUGUUUUCUGUGCGCACUGCUAAUCUCCCCCGAGGCUCACGCCUCCUCUGAUUGGAUACACGCUGCAAGGCAGCUUUUGAAUUCCUCUCCUUUCUUUCUCGCUGCCUAAGGCGGCUUGGUGCCUUUUGUUUUUCUCUGUGCCGAGGCUUCACGCUGCGCCAGGCAGCUCUUCUUCUCCUCGUCCUUUUCUCCUCUUCUUCUUUUCUUUUUUUAUUCUUUUUCGCUGAUAGCUUUGCUGCUUCUUUUCUUUUUUUGUCAUUCACAAUUGAUUGAAAGAACAACUGAAAAUCAAUUUAGGUUGCAUAUGUGUCAUGUGUGGAGAAGAACCCUCUAGC
rnacentral:lncRNA from 1 species